GAUGCACCUGCGGACCUGUCCCUGAAAAAGCUCUGUGUGGGUGUGGAGUGAGAAAAUGCAAGGAUAUUCAAACUCCGGAUUUUCUCCUUCCCUUUGAGAGCUCUGCUCAUCUCUGCAGCUUUGAAACCGUACACAGGAAGCAGAGCUGCUGACGUCAGGAGACCUCGGAGACCCGCUAUCGCAUCUGUUUCAUUGUACAGGUAAGGAAGCUAAAUUACAGAUUAAAGGAUUUGCCCAAAGCUACAGAGCAGAGGACUAUGAGUAGAACCCAGAUCUCUUGUUUCCUAGUUC
rnacentral:lncRNA from 1 species